GAAAUGCGAUACGUAGUGUGAAUUGCAGAAUUCCGUGAACCAUCGAAUCUUUGAACGCAUAUUGCGCUCGAGUCUUCGGACGAGAGCAUGUCUGCCUCAGCGUCGGGUUAAUAUCACUCACCCAUACCCUUGUGGUAUGCUCGAGUGGACCUGGCUGUUCCAGCAAACCGAUUUCGGUGAGCUGGAUCAGCUGAAGUACAGAGGUUAGCUCAAGGACCCGUCAAGGGCCGCAACUGGGUAGGCAGUCUCUGCUAUUUCUAGUUGUUGGCUUGGGACCGUGGGCUCGACCCUCAAACAGGAAUUAACCUUAUUUUCUCGACCUGAGCUCAGGCAAGAACACCCGCUGAACUUAA
rnacentral:misc_RNA from 1 species